AUGCAACAUUGCUUUCUUCUGGGUAUGGGGCAGGAUACCUGUUCCAUGACAGAGGAAGGAGGAAGAAGGUCAGACAAUGACCCUUCCUAGGUUUUAUAGCCUACUUCUCUGAAUAAGAGGCAAGAAGAAUUCUAGUUUCUGUGAACUCCUUCAGAAGAGAAGGGUAACAGAUUAGGAGAACUUUCUGCUUCUGACAUGUACCUCUGUUUCCUUCAGCUUAAAACACUAUGUAGGCCAAGUGAUAUGGUUUGAAUAUAUCCUCUUUAAAAUUUGUGUUGAAAUCUAAUGUGCAGGUUAUCAAUAAAAAGAGGCAGGGGUUUUCAGGAGAUGAUUAGGCAAUGUAAGUUCUGCUCUGAUGGAUGGAAUUAGUGCCUUAUAAAAAGGCUAGAAAGAAAGAGUCCAGCUUCCUCUUUGGCCCUUUCUGCCAUGUGAGGAUACAGCAAAGAGGCACAAGCUGCCCCGACCAGAUAUUGAAUCUGCUAGUGCCUGAUCCUGGACUUCUAGAACCCUGAGAAAUUUCUGUUACUUAUAAAUUACCCAGACUAAGGUACUUUCUUAUAGCAGCAGGAACAAAUAUGUCCACAUGCCGUAUUUGGAGGUAGCAUUUCCUGCACCCCAUGG
rnacentral:lncRNA from 1 species